rnacentral:misc_RNA from 1 species
UAUGGAUGCUAAUGGGAGCCGAUCAAAGGCCAUUGCUAGGUUACUGAAGAAGCUUGGUGUGCAGCGACCUUACCUUGUUAAAGGUGGUUUCCAAUCUUGGGCAAAGAACCUUCGAGUGAAAGAAUUGAAACCUGAGACCGCAUUAACAGUAAUAAAUGAGGACGCAGAGGAAAUCCUUGAAGACAUAAAGCCCACUCCAACACUUGUCCUUGGAUCUCUCCUGGGCCUCUCAGCAGCAGCGUACGCUUUGCUAGA